GAUUAACGCUAGCGGCAGGCAUAAUACAUGCAAGUUGAACGAGAUUAGUUUUAGCAAUAGAACUAGUUUAGUGGCGCACGGGUGCGUAACGCGUAUGCAACCUACCUUAAACAGGGGCAUAGCCUCUCGAAAGAGAGAUUAAUACCGCAUAACAUAUAUUUAGAGCAUUUUAGAUAUAUUAAACCUAAGGGGGUUUAAGAUGGGCAUGAGUGACAUUAGCUAGUUGGUGAGGUAACGGCUCACCAAGGCAACGAUUUCUAGGGGGUCUGAGAGGAUGUCCCCCCACACUGGUACUGAGACACGGACCAGACUCCUACGGGAGGCAGCAGUAGGGAAUAUUGGACAAUGGAGGCAACUCUGAGCCAGCCAUGCCGCGUGCAGGACUAAGGCCCUAUGGGUCGUAAACUGCUUUUGAAUGGGAAGAAAUGUAUCUACGUGUAGAUACUUGACGGUACCAUUAGAAUAAGGAUCGGCUAACUUCGUGCCAGCCGCCGCGGUAACAC
rnacentral:rRNA from 1 species